GGGGACAUAACUCAGUGGGAGAGUGUCUGACUCCAGAUUGGAAGUCAUUCCUAACUGCGAUAUCAGAAGGUCGUCCGUUCAAUCCGGGCUGUCCUCA